ensembl:scaRNA
UUGCACUUGAUUCUAACCUGACUGUCUGCAGCCCAGGAGUGUACGCACUUUGGUGUCUGUUUGGAUGUGGCUGUCAGGUCAAUAGAGGUGCUAGACAAAACCCCCGUGAGAUUUAAGCCCAGAGUCUAAAGGACUGUGCUCUGUGUUAUGGUUCACGGAACAAUG